UACCUCUGUCUGGAGAAUAGCCCGAAGAAAUUCGGAUUAAUGCUCCGUAACACCAUGAUGAGGCAUCUCGUCAUGGUCAAAGCUCCGGCGGUCAGAGAUGGACAUGCGUAACAUUAGCUUGUUGGUGAGGUUACGGCUCACCAAGGCUACGAUGUUUAGGGGGUCUGAGAGGAUGGUCCCCCACACUGGUACUGAGACACGGACCAGACUUCUACGGAAGGCAGCAGUGAGGAAUAUUGGUCAAUGGGCGAAAGCCUGAACCAGCCAUGCCGCGUGAAGGAGGACAGCCCUACGGGUUGUAAACUUCUUUUGUACGGGAAGAAACACUUCUACGUGUAGAAGCUUGACGGUACCGUACGAAUAAGCAUCGGCUAACUCCGUGCCAGCAGCCGCGGUAAUACGGAGGAUGCAAGCGUUAUCCGGAUUCAUUGGGUUUAAAGGGUACGUAGGCGGAAGAUUAAGUCAGUGGUGAAAUCCUGCAGCUUAACUGUAGAACUGUCAUUGAUACUGAUCUUCUUGAAUAUAGUUGAGGUAGGCGGAAUGUGUAAUGUAGCGGUGAAAUGCUUAGAUAUUACACAGAACACCGAUUGCGAAGGCAGCUUACUAAACUAUGAUUGACGCUGAGGUACGAAAGCGUGGGGAGCGAACAGGAUUAGAUACCCUGGUAGUCCACGCUGUAAACGAUGAUCACUCGUUGUUGGCGAUAUAGUGUCAGCGACUGAGCGAAAGCAUUAAGUGAUCCACCUGGGGAGUACGAUCGCAAGAUUGAAACUCAAAGGAAUUGACGGGGGCCCGCACAAGCGGAGGAACAUGUGGUUUAAUUCGAUGAUACGCGAGGAACCUUACCUGGGCUUAAAUGUAGAACGACGGAUCGGGAAACUGAUCCUUCUUCGGACGGUCUGCAAGGUGCUGCAUGGCUGUCGUCAGCUCGUGCCGUGAGGUGUCGGGUUAAGUCCCAUAACGAGCGCAACCCUCAUCAUUAGUGCACAGCGGGUAAUGCCGGGGACUCUAAUGAAACUGCCGGUGUAAACCGAGAGGAAGGUGGGGAUGACGUCAAGUCAGCACGGCCCUUAUGUCCAGGGCUACACACGUGUUACAAUGGUCGAUACAAAGGGCAGCUACCUGGUGACAGGAUGCUAAUCUCUAA
rnacentral:rRNA from 1 species